GUCCUUCGGGACAUAUGGUCAAUUUGAAAAAAUACAGAGAAGAUUAGCAUGGCCCCUGCAUAAGGAUGACACGCUUUACAAAGAGAUUUAAACCGUUUUU
rnacentral:snRNA from 12 species